GAACGCUGGCGGCGUGCCUAAUACUGCAAGUCGAGCGAAUGGAUUGGAGCUUGCUCUCAUGAAAUUAGCGGCGGACGGGUGAGUAACACGUGGGUAACCUGCCCAUAAAACUGGGAUAACUCCGGGAAACCGGGGCUAAUACCGGAUAACAUUUUGAACUGCAUGGUUCGAAAUUGAAAGGCGGCUUCGGCUGUCACUUAUGGAUGGACCCGCGUCGCAUUAGCUAGUUGGUGAGGUAACGGCUCACCAAGGCAACGAUGCGUAGCCGACCUGAGAGGGUGAUCGGCCACACUGGGACUGAGACACGGCCCAGACUCCUACGGGAGGCAGCAGUAGGGAAUCUUCCGCAAUGGACGAAAGUCUGACGGAGCAACGCCGCGUGAGUGAUGAAGGCUUUCGGGUCGUAAAACUCUGUUGUUAGGGAAGAACAAGUGCUAGUUGAAUAAGCUGGCACCUUGACGGUACCUAACCAGAAAGCCACGGCUAACUACGUGCCAACAGCCGCGGUAAUACGUAGGUGGCAAGCGUUAUCCGGAAUUAUUGGGCGUAAAGCGCGCGCAGGUGGUUUCUUAAAUCUGAUGUGAAAGCCCACGGCUCAACCGUGGAGGGUCAUUGGAAACUGGAAGACUUGAGUGCAGAAGAGGAAAGUGGAAUUCCAUGUGUAGCGAUGAAAUGCGUAGAGAUAUGGAGGAACACCAGUGGCGAAUGCGACUUUCUGGUCUGUAACUGACACUGAGGCGCGAAAGCGUGUGGAGCAACAGGAUUAGAUACCACUGGUAGUCCACUCCGUAUACGAUGAGUGCUAGUGUUAUAGGGUUUCCGCGCUUUAGUGCUGAAGUUAACGCAUUAAGCACUCCGCCUGGGGAGUACGGCCGCAGGCUGAAACUCAAGGAUUUGACCGGGGCCCCGCA
rnacentral:rRNA from 1 species